CAAUAAAUUCGUCAUUCAUAAAAUUCACUCAAGUUUUGUGUUCAAGUUACAUUUCUGGACAAUUUGCAAAAGGGAUUACAAGUUUAAUCACAAGUUACAAUUGUUGUUUACAAAACAAAAAAAAGAAAUAAAUGUUUGUUUCUUCAAGUCUCUUUGCUUCAUCUUCAAGCCACUCAUCCACUCCUCACCGUGGCCUCUUCGUCUUUUAACCUUGCCUCGAUCGUCCAAUUCUCGUGUUCAUGAAAUAAGAAAAAAGGAGAAAGUUAGCGAUAAUCAACAUGUGAAAAAUUCCAAACAAUUAUUUGUUAAACAAGAAAGCUCAUCAUUAGGGUUUGCAUUUGGAAUCAGAAUUUAA